rnacentral:sRNA from 1 species
GGAUGUGAGGGCACCUGGCUGCUGUGACAUCUGUCACCCCAUUGAUCGCCAGGGUUGACUCAGCUGAUCUGGCUGGCUCCGCAGCUGUCCCCGUCCUCACCAUUCCCUGUUUGAUGCUCCAGAAACUGUGCCUUCAGUUAAAGAGACCGACCUUCCCUAAAUAUAAGAGGAUAGGGGUUCAGGCAAGGGUCUACAACAGCUGUGUGCUCGGCCAAAACUUCCAGAUUAGCUCUUGAAGUAAGAGUCCUCU